UUCCAGCGCGUUUUUUGUGGUUUUUUUUUUUUAUUUUCUAUUCAAAUUUUUUAUUUGUUUUCUUUUUAUUUUUCAGACACUUCAUCACUUUUGCAGUUGCCCGGCCUGCAAAAGCUGCAAUGUUGCUGACAAAGCUGUCACUGUCACUGUGGGAUGUUGGCUGCCGUUUUUGCUGCUACUGUUGCUGUUGUUAUUGUCACUGCUAGCUUUUAUUGUUACAACUGGUAUUGCUGGUGCAAUUUUUUUUUGUUUGGUUUUGUUUUUUUGCUUUUUUUUUAGUUUUUCGAAACUUUUUUUUUUUUUGUGUGGUUUUUUUUUUUUUAGAUUCUGCGUGGGACACUCUAACGUCGCUGCUUCGACAAAAAAGCGGGCCACAGAACGCAGCGAUUCGUAAAACUAGAAAAUCACAAAAACUAAAAAUCACAAGAACGUGACACUCACCCAACCUACGCUGGUUGUUGUUGUUGUUAGGAAAUAGUUGCAGUUGAUUUUUUGCAUUAAAAUUUCAAAGUUCUUCUGAGUCAAUAUGCGCUAGGUGUUUUUUCGCUGUUGUGGUUUUGAGAACUUUAGUGCUUUUUGUUGUUGUAUUGCAAGUUUUUUUUAAGUGACGUUUUCAUUACACAUUUGUUGCUGCAUGAAUUGGCGCUGUUUUUGCUUUAAAGUUCAUAUUUACAUACAUACAUACAUACAUACAUAUAUAAGUACAUAUGUACAUACAAUUGUCGAUACAUAAGUACAAAUGUUCCUCUAUUUUUUUGAUGGUUUUUACUUUGUAGUAUUCAGAGUAAUUUUACAUUCGUUGCAACAUUUUUUUAUUUCACUUUUAUUGAUUUUAUGCUCUAGAAUGAUAAAAUUCUCAUCGACAAGUUUUAAGAGAUGGUUGAAGUGAGGUGAGUUGAGGUGAGCUGAGUUGAAGUAAGUUACGGUGAGUUGAGGUGAGGUGAGUUGCAGUGUAUUAAGGUAAAAUGACGUGAAAUGAGUUGAGGUGAGGUGAGUUGCGGUGUAUUUAGAUGAGAUGAGGUGAGGUGAAUUAAGUGAAGGUAAGUUAUGUCGUACAUAACAGUUUUGGUGUUUCCAUUCUCAAAGUUUUACAGCUUACUCCAUAAAGUUUGAUAC